rnacentral:rRNA from 1 species
UACAGAGGUGGCAAGCGUUGUUCGGAAUUACUGGGCGUAAAGGGCGAGUAGGUGGCCAUCUAAGUCAGACGUGAAAUCCCCCGGCUUAACCUGGGAACUGCGUCUGAUACUGGACGGCUUGAGUAUGGAAGGAGGGUCGUGGAAUUCCUGGUGUAGUGGUGAAAUACGUAGAUAUCUGGAGGAACACCGGUGGCGAAGGCGGCAUCCUGGACCGAGACUGACACUGAGGAGCGAAAGCCAGGGGAGCAAACAGG